rnacentral:sRNA from 1 species
AGCAGCCGCGGUAAUUCCAGCUCCAAUAGCGUAUAUUAAAGUUGUUGCAGUUAAAAAGCUCGUAGUUGAAUUUCGGGGUUAGUAGGUUGGUCAUGCCUCUGGUAUGUACUGGUCUCACUGAUUCCUCCUUCCUGAUGAACCGUAAUGCCAUUAAUUUGGUGUUGCGGGGAAUUUGGACUGUUACUUUGAAAAAUUAGAGUGUUUAAAGCAAGCUAACGCUUGAAUACAUUAGCAUGGAAUAAUGAAAUAGGACGUUCGAUCCUAUUUUGUUGGUUUCUAGGAUUGACGUAAUGAUUAAUAGGGAUAGUUGGGGGCAUUAGUAUUCAAUUGUCAGAGGUGAAAUUCUUGGAUUUAUUGAAGACUAACUACUGCGAAAGCAUUUGCCAAGGAUGUUUUCAUUAAUCAAGAACGAAAGUUAGGGGAUCGAAGACGAUCAGAUACCGUCGUAGUCUUAACCAUAAACUAUGCCGACUAGGGAUCGGAUGAUGUUAAUUUUUAAUGUACUCAUUCGGCGCCUUAC